AAUCCGUAUUAUGGGCACUAGCGAAGUAAACCCUUGUAUCGUUCCUAAGCCUUUGAACAGCAUUUUGAGUCCAUUUGUUGAAAAGUAGUGAUCUCGUCCCUUAGCUU
rnacentral:snoRNA from 1 species